rnacentral:rRNA from 1 species
UUAAAUGGCCGCGGUAUUUUGACCGUGCAAAGGUAGCAUAAUCAUUAGUUUUUUAAUUGAAAGCUGGUAUGAAAGGUUGAAUGAGAAAAUGACUGUCUUUAUAAUAUUUAAUUAGAACUUUAUUUUUAAGUUAAAAAGCUUAAAUUAAAUUUAAAGACGAGAAGACCCUUUAGAGUUUUAUAAAAAAUUAAUUUUUGAAUUUUUAGUAUUAAGUUUAAUUUAAAAGUUGAAUUUUAUUUAAUUGGGGUGAUUAAAAAAUUUAAAAAACUUUUUUUUUUAUUAAACAUUAAUUUAUGACUAUAUGAUCCAUAAAUUAUGAUUAUAAGAUUAAAUUACCUAAGGGAUAACAGCGUUAUUUUUUUUGAGAGUUCUUAUCGAAAAAAAAGAUUGCGACCUCGAUGUUGGAUUAAAAUUAAAUUAUGGUGUAGAGGCUAUAACUUUAGGUCUGUUCGACCUUUAAAAUUUUACAUGAUCUGAGUUUAAACCGGUUUGAGCCAGGUUGGUUUCUAUCUUAAAUCUGAUAUAAUAUUUUAGUACGAAAGGACCAAGUAUUAUAUUUAUAAUAUAAAAAUUUGAAUAAAAUUAA